rnacentral:rRNA from 1 species
GAUGAACGCUGGCGGCGUGCCUAACACAUGCAAGUCGAACGGAAAGGCCCUGCUUUUGUGGGGUGCUCGAGUGGCGAACGGGUGAGUAACACGUGUGUAUCCUGCCCUUGUCUUUGGGAUAACUUCAGGUAACUGGGGCUAAUAUCGGAUAGGAGCUCCUGCUGCAUGGUGGGGGUUGGAAAGUUUCGGCGGUUGGGGAUGGACUAGCGGCUUAUCAGCUUGUUGGUGGGGUAGUGGUUGACCAAGGCUUUGACGGGUAGGCGGCCUGGGAGCGUGAACGGGCACAAGAGGACUAAGGGAGGGAGCAGACGCGAACGGUAGGCAAUGGGGGGAAGUAUUACACAGUGAGCCGGAGCCUGAUACGACAGCCCUGCGUUCGUGAAGACGUGUUGUUGGUUAUGAACAGCUGUCGCCUGAGACGAAGCGGUAGUGACGGUAAUGAAUAAAUAAGCACCGGCUAACUACGUG